GGAAAGUAGCUCAGUUGGUAGAGUUCCUGCCUUACAUGCACAAGACCCUGGGUUCAAUCCUCAGCACCA
rnacentral:tRNA from 1 species